AACCUAAUGGUGUAAUGCUACACACCUGCUCUUAUUAGUUGGAGAAGUCAUGAAGCAGGAGGUCUCGGUUCGUAUCCGGGUUAGGUCA